UCCUAAAAAUACCGUACGACAUGGUAUGAUUAAUUAUCAAAGCUUGCAGCUAUGUCGUGGAGAAAAUCCAGAAAGCAUGCUGCAGCUCAAAGGAAGGUAAUGAUAAAGUGGUGGGCACCAAGGAGUCAGAGUGCAAAUUGGCUAGCAAAAUGAAGCCAGGUGAUGCAGCAGCAUAUGAACGCCAUUCAGCCAAAUAUGGCACUCCUGUGGAGAAUGGCUGUGGAGGCAAUGGGUCAUGAGGAUAGGAAUGAGGUAAACUCCAUCAAAUAAACUUGGCCAAAUUUCAUUUGUAAUUCUGGCUUUUGUGAUACCCUGAUGGAGGGACCUCUACAUCAGUCCAAAAAAAUGCUUACUCUGAAAAUUUGCAAGAGAUUACUGCUCUAUAACACAAGUGCUUACGAAUAACUAACCAUGUAUAAAGACUUCAUGAUUUGUGUCACUCAGAAUUUCUUGUGAAAGAGGUGAUGUGAUGAAUUUUCUGUCUGGUGUCAUGGUUUGUUCUAAGUUGACUUUUGUUUUAGUCCAAACUGCCAAACAAGAUAAAAGCCCUACCUGGAGUAAAUUUUUGAGUUGUUUGUUUCACAAGAGUUCCCGCUGAAUUAUUUUGGUUAUAUAUGUUUACAAGUUCCACCUGAUAAUCUUUCAAUAACAGCAUUAGCAAAGGUCGAGAUAAUGGAACAGAUUAAUUCAAUAAAAGUUACAAUUUGCUGUGUUGAAGCUAUUAAGAGUUAAAUUCAGGAAGAUGUUCAAUAUUAGUCCAUCAUGGGGAAGAACAAGCCCCAUUAGGGUUUUAUUUUUAUCUCUAUGUACAAACUGUAUGAUAAAGUCAUUGUAAAUAUCUCGGUGAAUAAAUAAAUGAAAUGAAAAGUUGGCUCUCUAAUUCAAACCUAUUGGAAAGACUAUGGAUGUGGAAGUAUUUCAUUGUCUGUUGAUCUGAUGUGAGCUUGAUAUUUCUCUGCUUAUUCAAAUUAAUUAAAAUUUUAAUGAAUUUUUUUUACUACUUCUUUCACUACUUACAAUGUGUGAGAUUGUUUUAUAAGCCACUAUGCCAUUCUAGAACAAAAUACACAGACAUUUGUGUAAAAGUUCACAUAAAUUCAUUCAACUUUAUUUUCAGGCAAAAAUUUUCAGUGCCCAUUAUCAGGUCAACAUUAUUUAUUGAUUUUGUAUAUACGGGUACACUUGGUUCCAAAAAAAAUAAAAAGAAGAGAAAAUUCUUAUCA